rnacentral:rRNA from 1 species
GAUGAACGCUGGCGGCGUGCCUAAUACAUGCAAGUCGAGCGAACAGACGAGGAGCUUGCUCCUCUGACGUUAGCGGCGGACGGGUGAGUAACACGUGGAUAACCUACCUAUAAGACUGGGAUAACUUCGGGAAACCGGAGCUAAUACCGGAUAAUAUAUUGAACCGCAUGGUUCAAUAGUGAAAGACGGUUUUGCUGUCACUUAUAGAUGGAUCCGCGCCGCAUUAGCGAGUUGGUAAGGUAACGGCUUACCAAGGCAACGAUGCGUAGCCGACCUGAGAGGGUGAUCGGCCACACUGGAACUGAGACACGGUCCAGACUCCUACGGGAGGCAGCAGUAGGGAAUCUUCCGCAAUGGGCGAAAGCCUGACGGAGCAACGCCGCGUGAGUGAUGAAGGUCUUCGGAUCGUAAAACUCUGUUAUUAGGGAAGAACAAAUGUGUAAGUAACUAUGCACGUCUUGACGGUACCUAAUCAGAAAGCCACGGCUAACUACGUG